GAAAUGCGAUAAGUAAUGUGAAUUGCAGAAUUCAGUGAAUCAUCGAAUCUUUGAACGCACCUUGCGCUCCUUGGUAUUCCUUGGAGCAUGCCUGUUUGAGCGUCAUUUCAACCCUCAGAACCCCUUGCGGGAUCUGGCGUUGGGGAUUGGCAUCCAGCCAGCCCCGAAAUCUAGUGGCGGUCCCUCCGCGACCUCCCCUGUGCAGUAGCGAUACCUCGCAGCGGGACAGCGGUCUGACCACGCCGUAAAACCCCCAACUUCUCAAGGUUGACCUCGAAUCAGGUAGGAAUACCCGCUGAACUUAAGC
rnacentral:misc_RNA from 1 species